GGUUGCUGAUGCUGGCAAGCGAUGUAUCCUUGAUAUCGAUGUUCAAGGAGCAAGGUCUGUGAGAGCUAGCGCUCUUGAAGCCAUUUUCAUUUUCAUUGCUCCUCCUUCUUUUGACGAACUUGAGAAGCGUCUUCGUGCAAGGGCAACUGAGACCGAGGAACAAAUCCAAAAGCGUCUCCAGAAUGCUAGGGCAGAACUUGAACAAGGAAAAUCAUCUGGUCUGUUUGAUCAUAUUUUGGUAAACGAUGAUCUUGAAACUUGUUAUGAGAAACUCAAGAACAUUUUGUGUCUAAGAGAAGCUGUGAAAUCUGCUCCUAAGACAAAAUCAUUCAACUUGUCCAUCAAACAUCCAGUGUCAAUGAUCGAUCAAAAGCUUCUGAUCAACUGUACUGCUGCAGAAGAUGAAAAUACAUCAACUAACAUGUACGUUCUGGACUUUUUGCUCAAAGGAGGAGCCCCUGGACGGACAAGAGGACUAAACAUGUAUGCUAUCAAUCCUUUGACUGAUGAUGUAAAUGGUAACAACCAGCUGCACUUAACAUCCAGUUUUGAUUGACCACAUCUUCUCUUCCUUUAAGUCGAUGCAGAGGGCUUGAGCCCCUUUGAAAGAACCACAAUUUUGACUUCCCGGUAUCAUUCUUGGAUUGCAACAAUGAUUCGGAAAUCCAUGUUAGUUUACUAUAUUCAAAGAAAACAUAUGUUGGAUAGGAUGCUUUUCGUUCUUUUAUCUAUUUGGUUUCGUUUCUUCUAAAAGCUUAUUCAUUUAAAUACAGUCAUUACCAU
rnacentral:misc_RNA from 1 species